rnacentral:lncRNA from 9 species
CCCAGAUGCCGAAGUCCCUCACAGAGCAAAGCACACGGCCUUCAACGUACAGGCGGACACUUUCCUGGAAAAUCGGGCGAUUGCUAAACACACGCAGGAGAUGCCCUGUGUCCCCUUUGUAAGUUUCGAGCUGGGGUCACGGCCCGGAAUGUCUGGUGGGACCUUGAGACGCCGUGUGAGACCCGGGGCCGCCGGUGGGGCUGGCCUGCAGGACGGAGGGCCCUCAUUCCCUGAAUGUCAAGGUCACCUCUCCGUCUGCCAUCACGGUCACGGACCCGACCCCAAGACAGCCCUUCCUGGAUUUCCAGAAUGUGCCUUGGAGGUGGAGCCACCUAGCCUUGGACCAUCCCGACGGGUCCUGGUGACCGUGAAUGCCCCGUAAAUGGGACAGGAGGAGCCUGGGCAGAAGACAGUGUCCCCUGCUGGGGGCCUGGCAGGGCAUGACCCGCACAGCGUCCAGCAGUCCAGAGAGCAGGCAGAGUGGCACCAGCGCAGUAAUCCACAGAGGCCAGCGCUGGACCAGGGUCAGGAGGACAAAGGACUCAUCCUGGGCUCUAGAAAGCUCUGCAACCCAGGGAAAGGCUGCUUUAAUGCCAUACUCUUAAAACAUCAAAAUUAAGGCAAAAAUCCACCAGGAGCAGAACACCUGGUUUUGAAAGACAGAGGGCCAGUGUCACGGCCCUUCCCUUUGGCUUCAGGCUCUGAUGUGGCUGAGCAGGCUGCUGCUGGGGCGGUCAGCCCUGGAGGGGUCCCUCGUGGACAGACGGCUCACGUGCUUGGCGUGGCCCUGCGGAGCCCUUCCCCAGAUGCUCCAGGGGCCCAGACCCUACCCGGCCCCGCUGCCAAGGGCCGGGCAAGGAGAGGCCUGGCUUCGUCUGACAGCCCCAGAACUCACGGGCCUGGACCGUGAGGAGGGAGGCCCAGGAUGGCGGCUGGCUGGGUUUCCUGGUUGACGGAGACUCGCUGGAAGGCACAGUCUCCUCCAGAAGCCUUCACUGUCCACCUGACGCCCCGGGCCUGCCCGACGCCCCACCAAGGUCCUGCGGCCACCGUGUGUCUUUCCCGCAUUGUGGCGCCUCCUGAUGGCCCUGUUCCAGGGCGAGCCAGCCUGGGCAGUGUGUUUCUCCAGCGGCCGGCCCUGCGUCGGGCUGCCUGCCAGGUCUCAAGGCUCCUGAGUGAGGAGAGGGAGGGAUGGUGGGCUGGGGGGUGGGAUCGUGGGGGGCGGGGAUCCCAGGAGGAGGUGACGCCAUCUGCCUCGUCCCCGGGGUGAGGCUGAAGGUUCAAGGCAGUCAGAGAACAGGGCCUGACCUGACCGUGCUCCUUCCGCCCGCACGACUUCCUGGGGAGAGGCGCUCAUCUGCCCAUUUUCCCGAGGAGGAAACUGAGUCUGGGGUGGACAGAGCGUGGAGUGGUGAGCUGGGCUAGAUCCUCUGGCGUCUGAGGGCGCGGCUCCCCCAGCGCCUCCCCAGCCCCACGGGAGCGCCUAUGCCCUCGGCAUCAUCACUGCGGCGUGAAACCCUCCUGGAUGAGCUGGGAGGCCUUCCCGCCAGGCCCACCUUGGCUGCGGCGCCUGCCCACGUCUCACCUUCAGAUGCCGGGUCUUAAUUAGCUCCCAGGGGAGCGGGGCUCCCUUCCAGGGGUGGGGCUCACCUGUGUCUCCCAGCUGGGGGAGCGGCUGUGUUCCACACGCGUGCGCUCUGUGUGUGCAGACACACCUGCCCCAGGCACACGCACAGACACGGGGGCACGCCCACGCACGCAAAAACACCCUCGGGCCCUUCCACCCUCUGUGUUGCUCCCGGGAGGUGCGUACCUACACAGACCCUUGCUGGGAGGCAGACGUGCAGCCCCCACAUCUGCGCACGCGGGCCGGGCCCCGAGCCCAGGCCCCGAGCCCAGACCCAGCCGGAGCCGGGCAGCGGCUGCCUGGAUGCCCUCCUCCCGCCCACGCUCCCCCACCCCCUGCAGCUGGCCCGCCUUUUGCAAUUCUUACAUUUAUUUCACAGUCAUUUACAUCGGCAGAGGCUUUCAAAACACUUCAGGCUUGUUUACUGAGCUGAGCAAGGACACUUUGUCUCCUUUCCAACUCAGCCUUCCAGAAGGAUCAGGAACGUGCCGUCUCUGCGCUGGGCCAGCUGUGCGCUGUGCCAGCAGCGGCCCCCGGCCUUCUUAAAGGGCCAGCUGGGCUCCGCCUCCUGUGGGACGUGUGCCCUUGAACCUGGGCCGCCCGCACCCCCGGGCUGGGUCCCCAGGGAACACUGUGCCUGGGAACCAGCACGGGGGUGACGUGAAGCCACCCCCUCAGUCUCCGCGGGCCAUUGUGCUGCUGACGGAACAGGCCCUGUUUUAUCAUGACUGCCUUGUAAGCUAGGCGGGCGGAGGGACCCGAGUCUGGGGACUGCGCCCCCCGCUCAGCUGCUC